AAAAAUAAUAAUAAGACACUCAAAACUUGGUCUUAAAAAGGUGAAAAUGAAGAGCUUAGCAAGCAAAACUGGCAUCAAAAAUUUUGUUUAUACAAUUGAUUCUUAAGGCACUACUUUGAAGCGCCACUGGAGGAUUCAGACUUUUUACUGGAGGACUCAGGCUUUUUAAGUAUACAUAAUUGACCACCAUCCUUAGUAGCAAAAGUGGCUGCUUUUGUUUCGUUGCACUGAUUAAUAAACUUUGUCAAUUCCCGAUCGACAUCCAUCUGCUUUGUGUUCUUCGAUGGUUUCACAGCUCUCUUCCCUUUGCGAAUUUGAGGAGCUUUUCCAUGUCGACUCGGCACUGAUUUCUUCUUCUGUUGGCCUUUGAAAAGAUUUGCCUUUUGUGUCAUCUUUUAACCCCUUACUAAUUUGCUUUCAAUGGAUUCUAGGGUUUUUG
rnacentral:misc_RNA from 1 species